ACGGGAGGCAGCAGUAGGGAAUAUUGCACAAUGGGGGGAACCCUGAUGCAGCAACGCCACGUGUGGGAAGAAGCAUUUCGGUGUGUAAACCACUGUCGUGAGGGAAUGAUGCUUGGCUCCGGCCAAGUUGAAUGUACCUCGAAAGGAAGCACCGGCAAACUUCGUGCCAGCAGCCGCGGUAAUACGAGGGGUGCAAGCGUUGUUCGGAAUCACUGGGCGUAAAGGGAGCGUAGGCGGAAACGCAAGCAGUCUAUACAAUACCGGGGCCCAACCCCGGACCUGCAGACUGGACUGUGUCUCUUGGAUAGUUCAGGGGCAGGCGGAAUUCCUGGUGUAGCGGUGGAAUGCGUAGAGAUCAGGAAGAACACCGAUGGCGAAGGCAGCCUGCUGGGGACUCAUCGACGCUGAGGCUCGAAAGUGCGGGUAGCAAACAGGAUUAGAUACCCUGGUA
rnacentral:rRNA from 1 species